rnacentral:tRNA from 3 species
UGGGAUGUAGCCAAGCGGUAAGGCACUAGACUCUGACUCUGGCAUCCGCAGGUUCAAAUCCUGCCAUCUCAGCCA